ACUAGUGUGGUAUAGUGGUUUGAAUGUUGGACUACAAUUCUGGAGACCAGGAUUUGAAUCCCUGCUUGUA
rnacentral:tRNA from 1 species